CUUUUAAACCGUAGUAGUCGCUCUUCCGUUUAGCGGGAGAGAGGAAAGUCCGAGCACCGCAGAGCAGGGUGGUCGCUAACGGCGACCGGUUCCGCAGUAAUGCGGAAUUAGGGAAAGUGCCACAGAAACAAUGUCUUCCCGCUUAGCGGGAUAAGAGUGAAAAGUCCGCGAUAAUCAGCGCGGUCCGGCUAGUAGUGAUACUAGCUGGUGGUAAACCCCACCUGGUGCAAGGUAUGCAUGGGGGAAUGGAAAUAUGGAGUAGCUCGCUGUACCAUUCCUGCUGCCGCUUAGAUCCGCCACGGCGGACAAGAUAGAUGACUACUUCCGCCUCGGCGGAACAGAACUCGGCUUAUGAGUUUAAAUUUUUC
rnacentral:RNase_P_RNA from 1 species